rnacentral:rRNA from 1 species
AGAGUUUGAUCAUGGCUCAGACUGUACACUGGCGGCAUGCCUUACACAUGCAAGUCGAACGGCACCACGGGAGCUUGCUCCUGGUGGCGAGUGGCGAACGGGUGAGUAAUACAUCGGAACGUACCCAGUAGUGGGGGAUAACGCACCGAAAGGUGCGCUAAUACCGCAUACGACCUACGGGUGAAAGCGGGGGACCGUAAGGCCUCGCGCUAUUGGAGCGGCCGAUGUCUGAUUAGCUAGUUGGCGGGGUAAAAGCCCACCAAGGCGACGAUCAGUAGCUGGUCUGAGAGGACGAUCAGCCACACUGGGACUGAGACACGGCCCAGACUCCUACGGGAGGCAGCAGUGGGGAAUUUUGGACAAUGGGGGCAACCCUGAUCCAGCAAUGCCGCGUGUGCGAAGAAGGCCUUCGGGUUGUAAAGCACUUUUGUCAGGGAAGAAAUCUUUUGGGUGAAUACCCCGGAAGGAUGACGGUACCUGAAGAAUAAGCACCGGCUAACUACGUGCCAGCAGCCGCGGUAAUACGUAGGGUGCAAGCGUUAAUCGGAAUUACUGGGCGUAAAGCGUGCGCAGGCGGUUCGCUAAGACAGUCGUGAAAUCCCCGGGCUUAACCUGGGAACUGCGAUUGUGACUGGCGAGCUAGAGUACGGCAGAGGGGGGUGGAAUUCCUGGUGUAGCAGUGAAAUGCGUAGAGAUCAGGAGGAACACCGAUGGCGAAGGCAGCCC